rnacentral:rRNA from 1 species
GAUUAAGUUAUUAAGGGCGCACGGUGGAUGCCUUGGCACUAGAAGCCGAUGAAGGACGUUACUAACGACGAUAUGCUUUGGGGAGCUGUAAGUAAGCUUUGAUCCAGAGAUUUCCGAAUGGGGAAACCCAGCAUGAGUUAUGUCAUGUUAUCGAUAUGUGAAUACAUAGCAUAUUAGAAGGCACACCCGGA